ensembl:snRNA U6 U6 spliceosomal RNA
GUGCUUGCUUUGGUAGCACAUAUACUAAAAUUGGAAAGAUACAGAGAAGAUUAGCAUGGCCCUGGCACAAGGAUGACACACAAAUUCAUGAAGCAUUACAUAUUUUU